AGUGGAGGCAAGCAUAGCUUGCUGGAGGUCUCUGCUUACCUGAGUACUUGCAGAGAUAUUCUGGCAUGCGCUCGGAUUCAUUCCGUCCCGUGCGUUGGUGACUUCCUCCUCUCUCCUCUGCGCCCUUCUCAAGACAAGAUGAGCAGACCACCAGUGGGAGGAGCAACACUGAGCAAUGGAGCUGCAACCGGACUGGGAAAAGGAGAGGGACAGAGCCAUGGGUGAAGAGACAAAGACAGUGAUGGGUGAAUCAAUGGAUGGUUUAGUGGCCUUAGUGGGGCAGCAGUUCUGACCAGGGAGAGCUGCUGUACAUAGAAUCAUAGAAUGGUUUAGAUUGUAAGAGACCUUAAAGAUCAUUUAGUUAUGCUCUCUCCCGUGGGCUGGCUGCCCCCCAUCAGAUCAGGCUGCCCAGGGCCCAUCCAUGGCGUUGGGCACUUCCAGGGAUAGAGCACCCACACUUCUCUGCGCAGUCUGUGCCAUGUCCUCACAACACAUCCCCUUGCUCUGGUAAUGAGGCCAUUGACUCCAGUUUCACCUGGAAUCCAUAUCCUGCUGCUGGUCACAUGGAGCAACCUCCUGUGCCUCCCCACAUGGCCCAGUGCUUCUGUUCCUCCGCUGAGCAGCCACUUCUGCCCCAUCCCUGGAGGUACCUAUGGCACCCUGAUCUAGUGGUUGGCAACCCUGCCCACGGCAUGGGGCUUGGAGCCUUAUAAUCUCUGAGGUCCUUUCCAACUCAAGCCAUUCUACGAUCCUCUGAUUCUUCCCUCCCCUGCAAGAAGCUCCAGAUCCCACACAUCCCGCUUGGCAUCCCAAACGUGCCAAACUGGCAGGAGCAAAAGCAACUUCUUAUUUUUCUUUUCUGUCCUCAUUCGACUCUGGCCCGCGGCCAGUCGCUAUCUUCAUUUAUUGUAAUGAAUUUGUGCCAUUAAUAUGUUGGCUGUGCGGAGCAAUCGCAAAGUAGUACAUUAGGACAAAAGCUAUUGCUCUGGAUGCCAGCGCUUUAUUGCUGCUGCUGAUUUACGGGCUGAUAAGCAACGCCGCGCGUCCUUGAGAUGGGAAAAGGACAGGUAGUGUGGCAGGGACCCGCAUUGUGGCAGGGUGUGGGAUUUCCCAGGCCUCGCACAGCUGGGGGUGGACUUGACGAUUCCAUCUUUUCUCUGGAAAACGUCUUCGCCUGAGUGUGAGCCCGGAGGAACGCCGCAGACAAAGCCAGUGUGAAAGUCCCAGGCGCUUGGAAAGGAGAUUAAAUGCCGUCACAAUACUGUAGGUUUGGGAGCUUCUGUGUGAGCAGCUCAUAAUAGAGCCAUGUCAUCACUUUAUUGCAAAGAUACGAUAAAGACAGGCAUUAUACGGUGUUAACAUUUAACAGCCAUAACUUAACUUUCAAAAGACUUCGCAGACCAAGUCACAGUGAAUUGUUUCUUUCUCCGCGUUUAAUCCCGGGCUCACAUGCUAUAGAGCAAGAGCAUUUACAGCCAGCGCUAAGCACAGACAGCCAGACCUGUCUGCCUGUCAGCUCCGCGAGUAAUCCCCUGAAGAGCAGCCGUACAUAGAGUGAUUUAAAGGGAAAGCAUGGAACAAGGGGAGCACAGACAACACAGAAACCACUGUCAGAAAGAGAUGCCAAGCAGCCCUGUCCCGGGGCUGAUCCUGUGCCCAGCAGUGCCAGUCUCCCUGCAGUGCUUAUGGCUACAGGAUACGACCCGGAGUUGCCAAGUUAUAGGAGGAACUCAAGCACCCGGAGUUUAUAAAAGUGGGAUGACGUGGGAGACGGCCUCUCGAGUCAAAAAGCGACUGCUGUGGAGCUGGGAGGAAAAUCCCCAUGGCUGGAGCAGGGGGAGAGCAUCAUGGCUGUGACCCCAGAGCUGGGGUCAGCCCCUGCGCAGGGACAUCCCCCUGGGAAAUGGAGCGGGCAGUGCGGGGCACGGUCACUCCCCCUCUUAAUGAGCCCUGUCAGCUUGCCUUGCAUUUUAGCUAAUUAAUUACUCCACUUCGGAGCUGCGCUUUGAGUUGACACCAGCACCGCAGGAAGGAACGGGGGUUGAUUUCAAUCCCCUCUCUGUUUGUUUGCUCUCACAGUCCGGAUCCACACAACAGGAAACGUUGGGUGAGUGCUCAGGGAAAAUAGUCAGCAGCGCUAUCUGAGAGCCAUAUCAAAGAGAUUUGGGCCAGAAGUGGACCCAGCUGCUGUGAAGCUAUUAGCAGCAUCUCAGGCUUCCUGUGUACAGCGGGUUAGGGGGCGAGCACUGCCCACAUGUUUGCUUGCUGGAAUAGUCACCAGCACUGCCAUGAACUCACAGCCCUGAACAGACCUUCCGAAAGUAGUUCAGAGUGGAAGCAGCAGGAAGGAGGGAUUUUCUGGCCUGGAAUAUUUUCGCCCUUUAAGGGCUACAGUGCAAGAUCUUCCUUGAGUGGGUCUAUUGCUGGCAUGCUGGGAGCAAGCAUGCACCAACGCAUGCAAGAUGGCAAGAUGGGUGAGCGAGGCUGUGCAGAUAGCCUGACCUCACUCAGGGCAGCAACACCAGGACAACAGCAUUGGGAUCAUCACUGGGAAAGCUCAGAAAGCUCCAGCGGAGUGAUGUAUAAGGAAAAGCUGCAGUGCGGGGCAAAUUGUCUCUCCCAGCGCCUGGAGCCUGCAGCCUCACUAUGAGGAGGAGGAGGAGGAGGAGGCAGUGAACCCAUCCCAGGGCAAGGCAAUGGGUGAAGUGGGCAUCUGCCUAAAUCCCACCUGGCCACACACCUCAGAGCUGGAACAUGCAAGAUUUUGUUGAUGGGACCAAUAAUCAGAGCACAGUGUAAUCAGCCCCCUGGGAUGUCUGAGGCAAGCAGAAACUACUGGUUUCUUUCACAAAGCACAAAGCUGAUGUCUGAGUCGGCAUGUUUGAUAACAAACGUGGUUUCUCAGAGCCCCUUUGUUAUCAGGUUGUGCUGAGGAGGAGCACACCAGGACACGAUGAUGCUGACAUCCAGAUGAGCACAGAAGUGAUAACAAAGCCCAGCAGGACAGUUUGUUCACUUCUCCCUCCAGCAAGGGCAUUGCUGGUGGUCUUAUCUCUUGCAAAGCACAAACCAGAGCAGCCAGGAGCCUUGCAUAGUUUUCCUGGGCUCCCUGCUGGAAGCACCCCAUGAACGAGGUGCCCAACCCCAGGGCAUCAGGCCUGCAAGCAUCCCACCCUGAUGGUUGGGAGAAACUGCAGGAGUGGCAGCAAGGACAUUGGGAAGGGAAGUUGGUGAUACAGCAUUUGGGACUGCAGACUUUCAGAAUGCACAGACCCAAGCUUGAAGUGUGAGGGACUCACAACUCCAUAUCAUGGGUAACCAGAGACCUGGAAGAACAAACCCAGAGAUGGUGCCAUACCCCAAAAUGAUCCUUUCCAAACCUGAGUGACAGACAUCCUCUCUUAUAGGGCCACCCAACUGGGAUAUCACCAUCCUUCCCAGGGUGUUCAUUCCAUCACAAACAGCUUUCAGGCUCUGGUCAUCAGGCAGAUUGUCCAGCUUUGGCAAUUCCAAGCCAUGUUCACAAGACACGGGCUAAUUUCUGAUCAAUUCUCACCAACUGAAUCCAGCUCUGCUAGAUCUUGUUACAAUGAGAGGGGAGAAGAGAUGGCAGUUGGACCACUUGCUGUUGAGGUCUUGGAUGUUGCAAAAGACUUUAUUCUGUCCUAUCUCCGGCCCAGACUGUUUUGCUGAGAUCUCAUCCCAUCCCUUCUCCUCCCUGCACAGAUAUACUCCAGCCAGGCUCCAUUUCAAAUCUCUCCUGGGUUGCUGGUUUCAAAGCUUUCCAAAGAGUAUCAUCAUCCAGGAGACAGAUGUCUAGGACUACUGGGCUUCCUUGGGGGAAAGCAGCACAGAGGAUGGUUUUGUGGUAGCAUCUUUGCACCAAGCCCUGCUUAAAAUGUAGACAGUGAGCUGGAAGCAGCAAAGAAAUGUUUAUGGAAUUGCUUUCACGGGCACUGUGCAUGUGGUGAUAGGUUUAUAAAUUAGGUCAUACCAUUUCCUGAAAUGUAUGUGCAACGUUCUGGAUAUUUAAUGGCAUAAAGACGUAAUUAGCUGCAGCUUUGGAAAACAGCGUCACCUUGAUUUGAAGGAAACUGUUAAAUAAGAUUGGGUUACCAUGCUGAGCAACCCACUGCAAAGAUACAAUCUGAGGAGGGAACCUGACCCUGCCAGGAUUUCCUCUGCAGUGUGUUUGCAUUGUAUAUGCAUCUAAUCUGGAGCAAAUAUCUACAUUUCUCUGUACCCCAUUCAGACCUAAAGGAAAAAAAAGUAAGCUGAGUAGCUUCACUGAAUGCUAAAAUAGAAGAAAUUUGCUGCAGGAAGGAAAUUUUAAGGUUAUGAUCUGCAUGGUCCCAGGUGCAUUUUUAAAGCAUCUGAAAUGUUAGAAGUCUCCUAUGUCCUCCAAGAACCUUGAGAAGAGAGAGAAAAUGCUGCAUAGCAAAGGUCUUUUGGAAGAUGGAAUGUGAAAACAGAUUAAAUAUAAGAUUUGGGAUCCCAAUGACCCCUACGUGUUUUUCAGUCAACAGCAAAAUACCGUGAGAGACUUCAGUCUCCUUCAUGUAACCAGCAAACCCCGAGGUAUCCUGAGACACCAAACCACUCUGGGUCUUCUAAACUACCCAACCACUUGUCCCCUUAUCUUUUGACCAACAAGGCUUAGUUUUCAGAGGAAGUGAAUGAGAUAUUUUAACAGGGUAAGCCAAGGCUGGUGGGAGAUGCAGAAUAGAUGCCCAUAUCCUGAGGUCACAUCCCCGUGCUGAAGGUAUGGCUACACACCAUACAGAAGUGUUUUGAGACCUCCAAAAUCAGCAGAAGUGCUAAGUGACAGGGCACCUAGAGCAGACAACUCACUGCAUUGACUGCUGACAAUGAGCUGACAGUGACACUUCCAGCAAAUAAUAAAUGGCUGAGAAAGAGGAAUUUGAAAUGCAAUGCCACUGAUGAGCCAAUGAGCAUGGGCACCUGGAGGGCACUGUCUCUUCUCCAUUUAGGAAUCACAGCUUUGCUUUUGGGCCCUCUUGACCCAAAAAGAAAACCCCAAUUAUGUACUAAUACAGAAACUGAGCAGUCUACUCUGUAGAGAAAUGUGUUGACAAAAAAUAUUGCUUUCAAAAGAAAUGUUCUUUAUUUUUUCAAGAGAGAAGGAAACCAGAUAAUUUUUCAGGGCCAGGAGAAGAAAACAAAAACAAAAACAAAAACACAAUAACAACAUCAGAAUAUCUUUGUUUUGUAAUGCUUGAAAAUAACUCUCAGGAGUCAAGGAGAAUGGUGAUAAAAAUGAGAAAUGUUGAAAAUGGGAAGGAGGGAAGGAAUGAGAGGGCAGGGUGCAGGCUUGUAGGAGGAGCUGCAAUUACUUGACAGAAAAACAGGGGUCUGCUGAAUCUGUAGGGUGUUUCAUUUACAGUCCUUUGGUCUGGAGAAGCACUGAACUUACACUGAACCCCAUCCCCGAGGUGAAACCUUCCCUCUCCCACCUAUGCAGCUCAGGCUCCCAAGAAGCACUGUUUCAUUCCCCCUCUCUCCCCUCCAUCCAUCUCAAUAUCCAUGUUCCCAAGUUGCCUGAUGUGCCGUUUAUGACAGAAAUAACCUGCCUUGGCACUGACACUUGAAUUUCACUUAAGGUUCGUCGCGUUAUUAAUGACAAGAUCAAUAUUGCCAAAGCCGCAGUAAGAGCUCUCGCCAUCCAUCCGCCUCCCACCCUCCCCUCCGAGGCGCUCCAUGUUUUAAUGCUCCAUCUUCUUUCAAGGGUAUGGGCUCAGCAUGGGAAGGAGAAUCUCCCGCUGCCGGGGACGCGGUGCUCAGUCCUUGGCAGCUGCCCCAAUGUAUUUCUCCCGAGCCUUGAAUGCUGAGUGAUGAGGUUUGGGAGAGGGAUAACCCACAGGCUCUGUCUAAUCAGAGCGACUGUGGUGGCCUUGCUGAACCCUCCCGGCACAAUUAGGUAAUCACGUUGGCAGACAAGCCUGAUUCAUGUCGCUUUACCAUCAGCAAAGGGAUAUCUAUCACCCCUGCGACAGACCCGUUAUUGCCGCAAACCACUUCAGCCCAACCGGUUAAAAACCCCUUGUAAAAGCAAAAUAAAAAAAGGGGCUUGGACAUAUUUUAUGGCAAAUUAACUUCUAACGUAUUCUUUCCUGCCUCGUAUUAAGAUCCCACUCUCAGCUGACACCUGCAGCAAGGCCUGUGUUCCUCAUGGCAUGUAAGGGCUCAAGAUCUCUGCAGACACUGUGGGACAUUCAGGACAAUUCUGAUUUGCUCUCACUUCUCUCCAUUGGCUCCAGAGGAACCCAAGGUGAGGUUUUGGGUGGUUGUGAAGAGUCAGGAGUUGGACUUGAUGAUCCUUAUGGGUCCCUUCCAACAUGGGAUCUUCUGUCAUUCUAUGAUUCUUGUUCCAUGGACUGACCCUAUUCCUAUGAUGACAGCUUUCCAGGAAUGCCAAGGCAAAGGCACCCAAACUCAACCUGAAGCACCCAGCCUGCUGAUACCGAGCUUCUUUGGCUCUGUUCCCACUGGACCACCUAUGGAUGUCGAUGAAGACAACAAGGAGACUUAAUGGAUUCAAACAAGCUUUGGAUGAAUCCUUCAAAGCACCCUGGAAAUUCAGCUGUUUCCCCAGUUCUACUCUGCACAGAUCCACAGGUGGACCAGGAAUGGAUGGAGGAAUUAUAUUAGCCCCAGUGUGCAGUGCAGCACCCCUGCUCCUCAUCCAACAGAUCCUGAAGGGCCGUCCCCAAAUCUGUGGUUUUAUUGCUCUUCUGGAAUUGUACUCUGGACCUGAAGACUUCCAGGCAAAGCAUAGAGCUUUUCCAUGGGCUCCAGAGGGCUCCUCAGGGCUGAGCCAUUCCCAGUACCGCCCGUCCCUGACCUCAGACAAGGCUCCAAUUAGGACUUUCAGUUAUUUUUCUUUGAAACAAACACAGGGCAAUGGGGAAAAGCAUCCUUAUCAUCUGGUGAUAUUCACAUUUUUACUACAUUUUCUUUCAGUUCUGAUUUUUUUUUUUCCCAGAACCAGUUAAUCCAUUUCUUUUGGACUUGUACCUUCAAGGCAAGAGCUGCAGCACAACGUGCGGCCAAGCCAUUCCAGAAAAAUGCCUUCACUACAGAACAUGAACUUCCCAUUAUAGAGGCUGCAUAUGUGCUCUGAUUGAUCCCUAAACUGGCAUUUCAAUUUAUUUCCCACUGGAGGACUCAUUCAUUACAGAGAAAUAAGACUAUUAAAUGCAUGAUAAAGCACAUGCAUCAACAGACGAGAAUGGUGGUUACUUUACUGUACCUAUCUAAACAAUAGCUGAUAAAUAAAGCCAUUCAUGAUCACAUAGGACCUUUUAAAAUGAAUAAGGAAACAGUAAUAUGCUCAUUAUUAAAGCAGCUGAUUAAAAAAAAUAGCUUGCCAGCAUUAACACCACACACACUUUGCUGCUGCAUCCCUGGCUGUGGGACGGAGGCAGCUCGAAGGCACAGAUUGCGAGCAACCUGCCUGCAACCUGCCCAAGUCCCAGCAGCCUGCAGAUGUGUGCAGCUGUGCUGAUGUGGCAGCAGGCUCUUACCUCCAGCAGCAGGGAAAGAUGCCCAAAGGAGCCCAUGCAAGCUGCUUUUUUCAAGCUUCCAUCGUUUUUUCUUUAACUACUGCAUUGACCUUCUACCCAACAGCCUCUGGAGAGAAGCAGAAUAGUGGGGCAGGUGUAGAAUUCUUUAUACAUAUCAUAGAACCACAGAAUGGCUUAGGUUAGAAGGGACCUUAAAGAUCAUCGAGCUCCAACCCCAUGCAUAUGUACGUAUGCAUAUGGUUGGUUUCUUUUUUUUUUUUUUUUUGACCUGUCAAAAGGGGAAAGAUAGAGAUGGCAAAGAAAGACAAGACAUGGAGAAAGGAAAAUGAAGAGGAAAGGAGAAGUGGAUCUUUAUGAAAAUGAGGAGAUAGGUGUCCAUAAAGGCUCUGAAGCGGGACAUAAGAGCAGUGGCUUUGAAGUUUCUUUGCAAAUCAAACCAGGCUGGUCCUUUCUCUGCCCAUUUUUGAGGACACUGAACAGUCCCACCACUGGUACAACAACCCCAUAAAAAUCUACCAUCAGCUUUUUUUCUCUGUCCUUUUCCCCCACUUCAACCACAUCCUUAGACCUCCAAGAAGCCAAUGCCAGGCUAAGUAGUUGUGACAUAACUCAGCAGGUUUUCCUGAGCUCUAAUUGAAUUAUAAGCCAUCACUUUAUGGCCACAUGUAAAAAUCCCACAUGUUCCUUGCACAGCAUAGUCAGU
ensembl:lncRNA